rnacentral:rRNA from 1 species
UACGGAGGAUGCAAGCGUUGUCCGGUUUUAUUGGGUUUAAAGGGUGCGUAGGCGGCCUAUUAAGUUAGUGGUGAAAACGUUCGGCUUAACCGGAUACCCGCCAUUGAUACUGAUAGACUUGAGUGCGCCAGAGGGUGUUUGAAUGUGUGGUGUAGCGGUGAAAUGCUUAGAUAUCACGCAGAACACCAAUUGCGAAGGCAGAUGCCUAUGUCGUAACUGACGCUGAGGCACGAAAGCGUGGGGAGCAAACAGG